AGACCACCAGCUAAGGUCCCAAAAUAUAUGUUAAGUGGAAAAGGAUGUGGCGUUGCCCAGACAACUAGGAUGUUGGCUUAGAAGCAGCCAUCAUUUAAAGAGUGCGUAAUAGCUCACUAGUCGAGUGACACUGCGCCGAAAAUGUACCGGGGCUAAACAUAUUACCGAAGCUGUGGAUUGUCCUUUGGACAAUGGUAGGAGAGCGUUCUAAGGGCGUUGAAGCAUGAUCGUAAGGACAUGUGGAGCGCUUAGAAGUGAGAAUGCCGGUGUGAGUAGCGAAAGACGGGUGAGAAUCCCGUCCACCGAUUGACUAAGGUUUCCAGAGGAAGGCUCGUCCGCUCUGGGUUAGUCGGGUCCUAAGCUGAGGCCGACAGGCGUAGGCGAUGGAUAACAGGUUGAUAUUCCUGUACCACCUAUAAUCGUUUUAAUCGAUGGGGGGACGCAGUAGGAUAGGCGAAGCGUGCGAUUGGAUUGCACGUCUAAGCAGUAAGGCUGAGUAUUAGGCAAAUCCGGUACUCGUUAAGGCUGAGCUGUGAUGGGGAGAAGACAUUGUGUCUUCGAGUCGUUGAUUUCACACUGCCGAGAAAAGCCUCUAGAUAGAAAAUAGGUGCCCGUACCGCAAACCGACACAGGUAGUCAAGAUGAGAAUUCUAAGGUGAGCGAGCGAACUCUCGUUAAGGAACUCGGCAAAAUGACCCCGUAACUUCGGGAGAAGGGGUGCUCUUUAGGGUUAACGCCCAGAAGAGCCGCAGUGAAUAGGCCCAAGCGACUGUUUAUCAAAAACACAGGUCUCUGCUAAACCGUAAGGUGAUGUAUAGGGGCUGACGCCUGCCCGGUGCUGGAAGGUUAAGAGGAGUGGUUAGCUUCUGCGAAGCUACGAAUCGAAGCCCCAGUAAACGGCGGCCGUAACUAUAACGGUCCUAAGGUAGCGAAAUUCCUUGUCGGGUAAGUUCCGACCCGCACGAAAGGCGUAACGAUUUGGGCACUGUCUCAACGAGAGACUCGGUGAAAUCAUAGUACCUGUGAAGAUGCAGGUUACCCGCGACAGGACGGAAAGACCCCGUGGAGCUUUACUGUAGCCUGAUAUUGAAAUUCGGCACAGCUUGUACAGGAUAGGUAGGAGCCUUUGAAACGUGAGCGCUAGCUUACGUGGAGGCGCUGGUGGGAUACUACCCUAGCUGUGUUGGCUUUCUAACCCGCACCACUUAUCGUGGUGGGAGACAGUGUCAGGCGGGCAGUUUGACUGGGGCGGUCGCCUCCUAAAAGGUAACGGAGGCGCUCAAAGGUU
rnacentral:rRNA from 1 species